CAAAGAGAAGGAGAAAGAGAAAGAAGAAGAAGGAGAAGGAGAGCAAGGGAGAAGGAAGAAGGGAGGGGCAAGGGUUUCCUACUAAGUUAGGAGUAGAACCAAGUGGUGAUGAGGCAAUGCGGCACGAGGCCAUCGGCUGUCCAUCAUCACCUAGGACUCGAGAUGUGGAUUCAGGGAAUCAUUUCAGAGACUGUGGUUGAGGAGUCGACCCUCUAUGGAGGUGACCUUUGGAAUAAGGAGCUGGUCGUGCAUGAGGACGGUUGUGUAUGUGAUGAUUGUGUUUUCAAAGCACACUGAGGAUGAGAGUAACAUCUUCCCUUUUUAUUUUUGUUUACAUAUAAGAUAUAACCCUAGGGGCAUAACUGUAAUUAAAAUUCACUACGAAACAUUUUGGUAAAUAUGGCAAAUAUUAUUAGACUUCACCAGUUGUGUAUAUUUGACUAUUAUUAUUAUCUUGUGAUCGUAGAAUCAUUU